rnacentral:rRNA from 1 species
AGAGUUUGAUCAUGGCUCAGGAUGAACGCUAGCGACAGGCCUAACACAUGCAAGUCGAGGGGCAUCGGGGUGUAGCAAUACGCUGCCGGCGACCGGCGGAUGGGUGAGUAACGCGUAUGCAACCUGCCUUCAGCAGGGGGAUAGCCCGUUGAAAGACGGAUUAAUACCCCGUAACACAGGGGCUCCGCAUGGAGAUUAUUGUUAAAGGGAUGCUUCCUUCGGGGAGUAUUCCGGCUGAAGAUGGGCAUGCGUUCCAUUAGGUAGUUGGUUGAGGUAACGGCUCACCAAGCCUGCGAUGGAUAGGGGAACUGAGAGGUUGGUCCCCCACACUGGUACUGAGACACGGACCAGACUCCUACGGGAGGCAGCAGUGAGGAAUCUUGGUCAAUGGACGGAAGUCUGAACCAGCCAUGUCGCGUGAAGGAGGACGGCCCUAAGGGUUGUAAACUUCUUUUGCAGUGGAAUAAAGUUUGCCACGUGUUGGCGAUUUGCAAGUACGCUGCGAAUAAGGAUCGGCUAACUCCGUGCCAGCAGCCGCGGUAAUACGGAGGAUCCAGGCGUUAUCCGGAUUUAUUGGGUUUAAAGGGUGCGCAGGCGGGGAAUUAGGUCGGCGGUGAAAUUUCGGGGCUCAACCUCGACAGUGCCGUUGAAACCGUUUCUCUUGAGUGCGGAUGAGGUAGGCGGAAUUUGUGGUGUAGCGGUGAAAUGCGUAGAUAUCACAAGGAACACCGAUUGCGGAGGCAGCUUACUAAACCGUUACUGACGCUCAUGCACGAAGGCGUGGGGAUCAAACAGGAUUAGAUACCCUGGUAGUCCACGCAGUAAACGAUGAUUACUUGCUGUUUGCGAUACACAGUAAGCGGCGAAGCGAAAGCGUUAAGUAAUCCACCUGGGGAGUACGUUCGCAGAUGAAACUCAAGGAAUUGACGGGGCCCGCACAAGCGGAGGA